UGUGUGUGUGUGUGUGUGUGUGUGUGUGUGUGCGUGUGUUUGUGUGUGUGUGUGUGCCAGUCGACGCCACCUCAGGGCUCUGUGGGAGUCGCGAGUACACGACAGCCUCUAUGAUUUUUGCAGAAACACACACGUCGCUGCUGCUGUUGCUGCUGCUGCUAAUUUGCUUUCAUCUCCUGUUUCAAAGUGCAAAAAAAGAAAAAAGAAAAAAAAAAACGCCCAGCCUGUCAGUGAACACGUCCUCGUUGUCUUCUCCUUUAAAAACUCUCAGCCGUCCAGCGGAGAAGCCAGUUGAGACUCUGCGACACGAGUUUCUGCAGAUGGUUACAACAGCCUUAACAGCCUCCUGAUGCAUGUUAUUUAGGGUUGGAAGAUAAGACUGGCUUUCCUCUGUAGUGGGUGUGUGGAACACGUUUUGCAUUCUUCACUGUUUGGUUUGUGUUUUGUUUUGUUUUGUUUUGGGGUUUUUUUUGUCCUUUAAAGGAUAAAUCUAUGCUUUCCACUCCUUGGCUGCAUGCGCUUAGAGGGCUAAAAGGAGAUGCUACUGAAUGUAAAAGCAAUUUCAAAAAAUAACUCAUAUAAAUGUGUAUAUAUCUAUAAAAAAAUAUCAUUGCUUCAUGUACCGGACCAAAAUGUUUCUUGCUUUUUUGUUUAUCCUUGGUUUAAACUACAUGGAGGCGAGGUUUCUAUUAAUUUGCCAAAUAAAAAAGAAAGAUUCAUGUAACAACAUAUUUGUAAUGACAAGUAUUCAUGUUCAUAAAAUCAGUUUGUUGCUUCUUAAGACAGUUUGGCUCUGUGUGUUUCCUUCUCUUUACAUGUAAAACUACAGAAGUUGCCUUAAGAUCUUGAGAGGCUUGUGUUUAGAGGCUGCACUGACUUCCUCAAACAGCAGGGGGCGCCUGAUGUUCAAUUUUCUCUGACCUCGUGCGCAAGGUUACUUACGGAUGCAUAUUACAUAACAACACAGAUACCGCAUGAGAGUGCAGUACAAAGAUAGAAACCCUUUCAGAGACACCAGAAUGACCGUUUCGAGGCAGUUAAAUUAUUCAUUUUAAAAUUCAGAUUAAACCCAUUGCAUAUGAACAAUGCGGGCGGUCUGUGCACCAUUUGAUGGGAUUUAUUGGAGCCGUGCAGCAUAAAUAGAACAGGAC